GACGAACGCUGGCGGCGUGCUUAACACAUGCAAGUCGAGCGGUAAGGCCCUUUCGGGGGUACACGAGCGGCGAACGGGUGAGUAACACGUGGGUGACCUGCCCUCAGCUCUGGGAUAAGCCUGGGAAACCGGGUCUAAUACUGGAUAUGACUCCAUGACGCAUGUUGUGGGGUGGAAAGCCUUGUGCGGCUGAGGAUGGGCCCGCGGCCUAUCAGCUUGUUGGUGGGGUGANGGCCUACCAAGGCGACGAUGGGUAGCCGGCCUGAGAGGGCGACCGGCCACACUGGGACUGAGACACGGCCCAGACUCCUACGGGAGGCAGCAGUGGGGAAUCUUGCGCAAUGGGCGAAAGCCUGACGCAGCGACGCCGCGUGAGGGAUGACGGCCU
rnacentral:rRNA from 1 species